ACAAGAGCAGAGCAGAUGAGAAGAAUCACCCUCCCUUGACAUGCUGGUCAUGCUUCUAUUGAUGCAAACCAGGAUAUGGUUGUCCUUCUGGGCUGUGUUGUUCGUACUUUGGAUAUGCAGUACUUCUGUAUUUGGGAUGCUUGUGUAACCAUGAUGUUGGCCAUACAGCAUGCUGAGAGACUCUUGGAUGAUGAAAAAGAAGAAUUGAUCUGGCAGAAUAUGAAUAGAACCCCAUGGGAUAAAGUGAAGUUUGUACCACUUGCCUGCUGCAGCACCAAUGAGAGGAGCAGCUUCCCAACCUCAGCUCCCCCCGCCCACCACACAGGCUGGGGCCAUGGACGUGGCAUCAGACUGAACCUGUCCUGGCAAAGUCAGGAUGAUAUCACGUAUGUGAAUGUCUGUUUCCACCACGUUUGCUAUGGCUGAGUGGAUGCCAUGGUACUGUAUACUCACAGUUGAGGUAAAUUUGCUAAAAGUUAACUGUUCUGAAUAUGUAGUCACAGGUACUGAUUAAUGUGUAUGAACUCUUAACACAGUGUGUGUUGCUAUCAAAUGUCAGUCCAGUAAAGUUUUGUUUUGAAGUUUAAAAUUUUAAAUUGACUUUUUUUUAUCAGUCUUCC
ensembl:lncRNA